AUGGCGGGACCAAAGAAGGGUUCCUCUUUCACUUGGCAAAGUAUUGUAGCGGGUAUACAAACUUUUAAGAGAGGAUGCAUCUGGCGGGUGGGUACGGGUUCACAAAUAAAUAUCUGGAAUGAUCCCUGGAUACCCAUUAGUGAGAACAGGAAAAUUUUAACUCCAAGGGGAGCAACCAUGUUGAGCAAGGUGGAGGAACUAAUUGAUCCUUAUACUGGACAAUGGGAUGAGCCGUUGAUCAGAGAUGUGUUCUGGCCAGUUGAUGUACACCGGAUCCUACAAAUUCCUCUCCGAGUGCAGCUGAUGGACGACUUUGUUUCAUGGCACUAUAAUCGGUCUGGUAUAUUUACAGUUCGAUCGGCAUAUCAUGUGCAAUUCCAGCACCAGUUUGGACGCAAGGAGAAUAUAAAUGCAGCACAAGGCAGUCGACCAAACCAUAUAUGUAAACGUGUGUGGGGCUUGAGAAUCCCGGGCAAAGUUAAACACUUUGUAUGGAAGGUGAUCAGGGGAGUUCUACCAUGCCACGGAACCCUAGCAAAACGGCAUAUACUAGUCACGGGACAAUGCCCGAUAUGCCAGAUAGGAUACGAAGAUUCACAGCACUAUUUAUUCACAUGUGGAAGAGCGAAGGAUAUAUGGAAGGAGCUGGGACUUGAGGACGAAGUUAUGAAAUCCGUUGCGGAGGACCGGUCUGGCGCAUUGAAUUUGGCUACUCUCUUAGAGCGUCAGGAGUCAAAGAAUAGUCUAUCUGUGGCAGAGCUAACUGUGGUGGCAAGCUGGUAUAUCUGGUGGCAACGACGACAAAUUGUUAAGGGCGAGGUAGUCCGACCGGCACACCAAACCGCAAUAUCGAUAAGAGUCUUAGCAACAAACUUUAUCCGCUCACUAACUCCGAACCAGCCGUUGGUUGCGCGUGAUCGUAUGUGGCACAAGCCGGCGAGAUGA
rnacentral:rRNA from 1 species